CAGAGUGUGACGACAGCCUCGGCAGGAGACGAGCGAACAGCAGACACUGAGGGAUGUUGUAGACUGGCUCAUGAAGUCCUCCUGUUUUCUCUCCACAGGCAGAUGAAUGACAGAGAGCUGAGAAAACGCUGCAGAUUUGUGCAACAGGAGCGCAGAACAGACAUCACAUCUAGUUUUGAUUCUUACCUAAAACACGCAGGAUUGGAGGAGAAGAUGAGAGAGGUCUUGGUGACAGAAUCUCAAUGGCUUUCCACCAGAUGUUAGAACAUGGCUGCAGGGGUUUGCUCCCAUUCAGCCACAGGAGCGUUAGUGAGCUCCAGCACUGAUGUUGGGCAAUAAGGCCUGGCUCACAGUCAACGCUCCAGUUCAUCCCACGGGUGUUGGAAUGGGUUGAGGUCAGGGCUCUGUGCGGGCCAGUCAAGUUCUUACACAACUGGGAAAAGCAUUUCUUUAUGGAGCUGGUUGUGUGCACGGGGGCGUUGUCAUGUUGAAACAGGAAAGGGACAAACACAAACUAUCUCAUUGCAUGCUGUAGCAUUACGAUUUCCCUUCACUGGAACUAAGGGGCCUAGACCAAACCAGGAAAACAGACCAAAAGUACAGUGUGUCGACAUCAUUUUGAUUAUAUAGUGUAGCUGUGAGGAGUGAAUGAGCAAUGUAGUUGCAAGAACAAAACUUUGCACUGAUAUCUUAAAAUGUUUGAUUUGAAAGAGAACUUAUUCUAAUUAUAAUUAGAACUAUUCUAAUGAUCCGAUAACUCCCCUCCUCAGGUAUUGUACUGUCUGUGCCACCUGUGUGCAUGUCACUGCUGCCGUGAUCACUGAAAAGUCCGGGUGUGAGCUGCAGUUACCACCAACUCUCUGAAGACGCUAAUAAUUUUCACUCAGCUGCGUGUGGCUGUUAGUGCUGCUGUUUCUGAAUUGGACUUUUUUUCAGCCCUCCUUUACAGAUCAGAAAAUACUAUGAGACAAUCAGCAGCUUCAAGCAGAAAGAGAGGCGCUAUGUCAGACAUCAAAGGUCACAUAUUUACUAAAUUGAUCACGACAGGAGAUGCGUCAUCUGUCUCAUUCAGCUCAGCAGCUGACAGUGAUUGAUUUAUCAAACACAAUGUACAUUCUAAUGGUGGGCAAAACCACAACAUUUGGUUUCUAUAGUAUAUAGUGUAAGCCUAACACCAGGCCCAUAAUCAGCAAUGUCUAUACUGAUAGUUUACUAUUAAAGGCCCUGAACACCUGUUUUCUCAGCUUCUUACUGUGAGAAAUGUGGUCCUACAUGAACACACAAUUUUCUGCCAAAGGUGGAACCAUUUUGAUCAUUCAGCAGCAGACAGCGCUGCAGGUUAGACACCAGGCUGUCGUUGAUAAUCAGCAGCUGGACACAUCCGAGUCUGCACCAAGGCUCGUCAAAUUUGUUACCUGUGAGGUUUACAGCAGUCAGGGUUGGUUCUGGGGUGGCUGUGGCUCAGGAGAUAGAGCAGGUUGUCCAUUAUUGCAGGGUUGGUGGUUUGAUCUUUGGCUCCACUUGUCGAGUUGUUCUUUAGCAAGACACUGAACCCCAAGUGGUACCAAUGGCCAGGCCAGCGUGGAGCAGGAUAGGUAGUAUAUGUAGUAGGGCAGAACCAUGGGUAGAGCUUGUCGUCACUGACACUAGCUGGCUGCCAUGAUAGACAGCCUUUUACAAUAAAGCAGUUUCCUGUAGGCUAGCCAGCUGCAGGGACACUACUAUUGACUAUACAUUUAGUUACAUUUGUGAUUGACUGUAAACAGGUUUGAGAAUUAAGCCCCACCCAUGAUCAUGCCUCCAAGUUGUGAUUGGACGGUUGAUUGUUUUUAAUUUUGGCAUUGACAAUGCGUGUCCAUCUCAAAAAAGAAAAAGCUCCCUCACACCUGCUCAUGAAAACUAAUGAAAAUGUUUUGCAUUUAGUAUUGGUAUGUCUAUGCUGCCCUCUGCUGGACAACACUGACAUAUAACACACCUCUUCACUUUGUUUUCUGUGUUGUGAUUUGAUUUUAAUGUGGCAUGGAAAAUUCAUGUCACCAUGAAAAACAAUUCAUUCAGUUGUUAAAAACAGAAAGCUAAAUAAUUGUCCUUUUAACAUGUUUUUCAUUGAAUUAUGACAAAGUAAAGCCUAUAUAAAAAGGAAAUACAUAUAACAAUGUGUAUUGCGUUUUGCCUUAUUUCUUUCUUUGAUUUAAUUUAGUCAUUUUAAAUUUUCCAUUUUAUUCUGAGUGUACUAAAACUAUGUUCAGAAAACACGUUUUAUCUACCUAAAAGCCCCCUAUGCAGUACCUGUGUACUGUACUGCCCUUAUUGAUGCCAAAUGUACACACAAUUUCAUCUUCUGUAUGUAAUUCCUCUGUCAACUUAAGCUAAACUGCAGUUUCAUAUGUUGUAUGUUGUUGUCUCUUACUUGUAUUGUUUUAUG